CCGACAUGCAUGUCUAUUAAAUACUACUGUCACACAUGUCCCUGACGUCAGUCCCCGCCUGCUUGGCCAGGAGAUCUACCCUGACAAGCAAUGCCAGUUAAAAUACGGCCAGACGUCGUAUGAUUGCCAGAGGAAAAACAUGACCUCAAAUAUUUGCACACACAUGUUCUGCUUUGACCCGAGUAGGAGCACCUGUCUCAGACAGCUACCUCUGCAUGGUACAACGUGUGGCUGUGGCAAGAUAUGCAACCAAGGGGCAUGCGUUGAUGAUCAAAUAUUUCAGAAUAUCGAUUGUGGUGUCA
rnacentral:sRNA from 1 species